rnacentral:rRNA from 1 species
CCGACCCCACGAAGCUGGAUUCGCUAGUAAUCGCGCAUCAGCCAUGGCGCGGUGAAUACGUUCCCGGGCCUUGUACACACCGCCCGUCAAGCCAUGAAAGCCGGGGGCGCCUAAAGUCCGUGACCGUAAGGAGCGGCCUAGGGCGAAACUGGUAAUUGGGGCUAAGUCGUAACAAGGUAGCCGUACCGGAAGGUGCGGCUGGAACACCUCCUUU